rnacentral:lncRNA from 1 species
AUGAACGUUUGUCUUGUGAUUUACAGAACUGCCAGAUUCCCUGAGCAGCAUAACUCCCUUGAAGAAAGCUUCUCACCCACGGUAUGGCUCAGGCAGUUUCACUCGGCCGUGCCAGCUCCAGCCUGGGAUCUUGCAAGAAGAGCAGGACAGACGGGCAGGCAGGAUGUGACAGGAGGUGGAGUGUCCAAUACUUAGAGCUUACUUCAUCAGUACUCACGUUCCUGUGGUGCUGCUGGUGGUGGGUGACAAGCUGAGGGCAGGCUGCAGAGACACUGCUCAUGUUUGAUCUUCUUUUACCUGCAGAGACCAUCCCAGCUUCUCGGACUUAUUUUCUGAAGCUUGUCCUCUCACCAGCUCACCCAAGGUCGCCUUCACAAAAAAGGUUGUCAAAAUGGGUGACGUACUUUCUGAGACCAGUGUCUGCCAUUCUCCCCUGGCUGUUCAGGGAGCCCAUGUGCACUAGCUAAGACUUGCAUGACUAAACCUCAGACCUGUGAAAGGAGAGAGGUGAGCUCCAGCCUUCUGAGUUACUCCUGGCCCAGGGAGAGGUGGCCAUGCGACCUCCAGGGCGUGGGGGAAAAUAUAGAAAUAGGCUGGCCU